CCUACGGGAGGCAGCAGUGGGGAAUUUUGCGCAAUGGGGGCAACCCUGACGCAGCAACGCCGCGUGAGUGAUGAAGGCCUUCGGGUCGUAAAGCUCUGUCAGAGGGGAAGAAAUGCAGGUGGUGAACAACCAUUCUGUUUGACGGUACCCUCAAAGGAAGCACCGGCUAACUUCGUGCCAGCAGCCGCGGUAAUACGGAGGGUGCGAGCGUUGUUCGGAAUUAUUGGGCGUAAAGCGCGUGUAGGCGGUUUGUUAAGUCGGAGGUAAAAGCCCCGGGCUCAACCGGGGAAGUGCAUUGGAUACUGGCAGACUUGAGUACGGGAGAGGAGAGUGGAAUUCCCAGUGUAGGAGUGAAAUCCGUAGAUAUCGGGAGGAACACCAGAGGCGAGGGCGGCUCUCUAUGCUACUCCUGACGCUGAGGCACGAAAGCUAGGGGAGCAAACGGGAUUAGAUACCCCUGUAGU
rnacentral:rRNA from 1 species